UUGGGUAAACAUCUUUCUCAUAAUGUUUCAAAUUUUUUCGAAAUCGUUUCAUCAUUUUUCUGAAUUUUUCUGUGCCAUGAGUCGACCCCCAGGAUCGACCCUAGGGCAAACUUGUAAUUAUGUCAAAACCCUUCGGAUGCUCUCUUUUUGUUGAAAAUUCUCCUUGAGCCGACCCAACUCUCUGCCUUCUUCCUUCCGUUGAACCAAAGGUCUCCCUCUCUUCUUCUUCAAACCCAAGAUUUUCCUCGAAACUCCUCUCCCACCGACUCUCACACUCCAAAUCACCCACUUAGGAACCAAGUUCCUCCCCUUCUUCUUCUUCAUUUGGAGCGAUUCGAGCUUACCCUAGACUCUACCUGUCUCCUCCAAAUCGGCACAUCACAUCUCCAAAAUCCUUAUCUUUUCACUAAAAAUUCUUCAUCUCUCCCUCACAUUUGCUCUCCUAAGUUUCAUGCUAGUCCUGCCUGUGCAAAUGACUCCCAAAAUGAAGCUUCCACUGAGGAAGAAAUCCGUUCGCGAAUUGGAGGAAAAUGUGCGCCGAAAGAGACUAGCAACCGAGACCACUUGUGCUUCAAACCCUGCUCCUGGUUU
rnacentral:lncRNA from 1 species